GGUUAGAAAGCGAACUAUUGCACCUAGUUUCGACCUAGACUUUGGUAAUUUACCUCUAAUCA
rnacentral:tRNA from 1 species